CUACGGGCUGCAGCAGUGGGGAAUAUUGGGCAAUGGGCGCAAGCCUGACCCAGCAACGCCGCGUGAGGGAAGAAGGUUUUCGGAUUGUAAACCUCUGUCCUUGGGGACGAAGAAGUGACGGUACCCAAGGAGGAAGCUCCGGCUAACUACGUGCCAGCAGCCGCGGUAAUACGUAGGGAGCAAGCGUUGUCCGGAAUUACUGGGCGUAAAGGGUGCGUAGGCGGCAUAUUAAGUCAGGUGUGAAAUACUCGGGCUCAACCCGGGGGCUGCAUUUGAAACUGAUAUGCUUGAGUGUGAGAGAGGAAAGUGGAAUUCCUAGUGUAGCGGUGGAAUGCGUGGAUAUUAGGAGGAACACCAGUGGCGAAGGCGACUUUCUGGCUCAUAACUGACGCUGAGGCACGAAAGCGUGGGGAGCAAACAGGAUUAGAUACCCCGGUAGUC
rnacentral:rRNA from 1 species